rnacentral:lncRNA from 10 species
CAGUCUGUAGUUAGCUAAUAAAAGAUGGCUGGGGGCUGAUGUAAAAUAGAAGCUUUAUUACAUGGGUAAGCAAGACAGAUACAUACAGGUUACCACCAAACUCAAGACCACAGAGCAUAUCAGUUACUGGCUAACAACUCACAGGUGCCUGAAAUCCGCAGUUCUGAGUUCAGGGGAUAGAGUACUACUUUUCCUCUUUCUUUCUUUUAGCUUUAUCUGAGAGGUGUUUUCCAGAAGCUGAAGGUUGAUGCUGAACUGCUGAAGCUGGAGGAGCCAGAUGACAAAGAGCAUGGUGAGGAGGAGUAUCAGGCUAUGACACACGUUAUUUUGGAAAAACUUUUCAUAUGAUUAUUUAUUUUUCUAAUCCACCAUUUUUGGAAUGAGCUGAGAUUAGCCCAACUAAUAUUAACAUCAGUUCUAGGCUUGAAUCCAAACAGACUUUUCAAGAUCUCUAAAUUCCUUCAGAGAUGCUUAGAGGGAUAGAAUGCAGCUGAAUCACAGUCUCCCAACCAGAUCUUCCUUACCCGUGAGAACUACGGUCAAAGGAGGACUUAUCCAAGGAACUGCAAAGACUUUUUGAUCCAGACAUCAGUUUAUCUAGGCACUCACCACUGAUGGUCCAAGUCCAUCCACUUGGUCCUGAGAAAACCUUCUCAAAGUGCCUGGGAGAAAAUCCAUGGUUUCACUGAGACACCAAUGAGUAUGAAUAAUAGAGAAGACCAGACCUUGGCUGACACUUUGAGAAUCUCUGAUAGAAUUGAUUCCCCCUCUCAGCUGGCACCAUCCAGGAAGAACCACAUGACCAGCUUGCCUGCUUGAUCUGAGCAGCACUGAUUGAAAGAGAAAACUACUGUUUUGUGAAUGAUCAACCUCACUCAAAGUUGACAUUUUUAACAUUGAAGCUGAAUAAUCUGGAGAUGGUGCUGGCAAAAGUCAGUAGAGACAGAGAGAGCUCAAAGCUCCCAGGAGCAUCCUGAUUCUGGCAGAAGCAGGAGCAGAGAGUUUAGAAUCAUGAGAUCAUCAUAAACCCCCUUCUUGGAAGAUCUCAGGACCUCAGACCACAGAAAUUACCCUCCACUUCAGUUUUGCCAUCCAUCAUACUAAGGCAGAAACACAUCUCACCUUCCUGCUACUCAAGAAUUGGCAAAUAAAGGCAAAAUCUCGCCCCUCUCUGAGAUUCUCAAAGAACAGUGUUUGACUCUGUUCAGUGGGGUUUUCCAGGGCCAAAAAUGCCUGUGGGAUUGAUUUUGGAGUCCCAGCAACCCUCAUCUCUUAGUCCUUAUAUUGCAUGCAGGUCCACAGGAAGAGAGGGUUGGCACUCAAAGGAUCACAGUUUCUAUCCCACGUCAUCACUCUUACUGACCACUCUGGCUCUGGGGAUGCUGCAUCUCUCUGAAAUCCACCCAGUUGCGGGAAAUACUGAGAGUUUAGGCCUACUUCCCAUUAUCUGAAUAAAAUAGAUAACAUCGUUUUUUCUUUUCCAAGAAAAUGGAAAUCAAGCCCACUGUUUUGUGUUAUCAGUUUAACCGCUGAGUUGAGGUGUCACCAGCAAGUACUGAGCUUUAACUGUUUCCAAAUGGGGCUUCUGAGAGGCACUGAGUUGGCAUCUACCAAGGACUUGGUCUACACAUAGAGGGAAGACAGAGACCAGGAAACACUCAUCUUUCUGCAAUUCAACUCUGGGCUCCAUCUUGAAGGAAAUGAAUGCAUGAAGAACAUUCUUAACCUAGUAUGUCUACGGCCAUACCACCCUAGGCGUGCCCAAUCUCGUCUGAACCCAGUACGUGACAUGCCCUAUGCUGAUGCUUUCAUAUGCGUUACCUUAUUUAAUCCUCAUGACUUCCACAUUAAUAAUAAUUACCUAUGAUGUGAGAGGGUCAUUAUACCAAUUUUAUGAAGAAAAUAUGGCUCAAAGAAAUAAUUUUUAAGUAGCAACACCAACAUUUGGAAUCUUCUUGAAACUUCUAACUCCUAGAAGACCACCAUGCUGUAUUUUUGGUCUACAAAUUUAAAUGGAAUAGUAUCUAAUGUUGGGGAAAACGGGAGGAAUGAAGGGUGACUGCUAAAGAGUACAGGAUUUCUUUUAGUGGUGAUGAAAAUGUUCUAAAAUUGACAGUGAUGACCAUUGCUCAACUCCAUGAGGACUCUAAAAUUCAUUGAAUUGUAUAUUUUAAAUGGGUGAAUUGUAUGGCAUGUGAGUUAUAACCACACAGAGCUGUUACAAAUAAGUAAUAUUUAAUGGAGGCCUCUUCCCACCCUACUCUACAACAGUCACAAAAACCUCUCAAUUUUCCCAUAUAUCCUGAAGUAGAAGGGCUUGCCUUUUAUCUCUUUGUAAUUUUAUGUAGUGGACAAUAAACAAAUGGCUGAUUGUAAUGAUGAAAAAGAUCCAAAUUUCUCCAGUAAAGUUGGGGGAGAAAUGCCCAGUUACAAGCAGCUGAAUGGAGGUCAGAGAGAACCAUAAUCCCAGAUAAAAAAUAAGCAGGCAAAAUUUUCUGUAGCACAAUCCCUCUCUCAUUUCAAGAAUCUGCCCACACGCUCCUCACACCUCCUCCUCUCCUGUCACUACCACCAUGAUCUUGUGGUUACACAAUUUCAUUCAGAGUCAAAAUUAGAAAUUAACUAAAGAAGCUAUGGUAUGGUAUUUUAUUCUAAGAUGUCAUCUCUUUUCAAAUGAAUCAUCAAUUUAAUAACAGUUUUCCAAGUGUUAAAAAUGUGGGGUAAAAAUGCAUUUUAGAAUCAAAGAAAUGUACUAAUCCCUAUGAAGAUGGUAAUCCAAUUAAAGUGUAAUUUCUCCAUAUUUGAAGACAUUUUCAGUGCAUGAAAAUGCUUUUUAGAAUCAGAGGGCUAAUGAAUGUUUAAUGAUGUAAAUCUAUGCCUGACACAAUAGAAGAACGACUGGUGUUUAUUGUUUAGGAUGGAGGGGGCCGCUUCCCAGAAUCUAUCGAAUGCCCAAAGCCUGUGCCCUCCCCAUUCAUUUUUCUGGGCUGAACCCUCACUCUCAUUUUCAAGGUUAACAGGGGAAGUAGA